rnacentral:rRNA from 1 species
UACGUAGGGUGCAAGCGUUGUCCGGAAUUAUUGGGCGUAAAGAGCUCGUAGGCGGUUUGUCGCGUCUGCCGUGAAAGUCCGGGGCUCAACCCUGGACCUGCAUCGGGUACGGGCAGACUAGAGUGCGGUAGGGGAGAUCGGAAUUCCUGGUGUAGCGGUGAAAUGCGCAGAUAUCAGGAGGAACACCGGUGGCGAAGGCGGAUCUCUGGGCCGUAACUGACGCUGAGGAGCGAAAGCAUGGGGAGCGAACAGG